UACGGAGGGUGCAAGCGUUAUCCGGAUUCACUGGGUUUAAAGGGUGCGUAGGCGGACAGGUAAGUCAGUGGUGAAAUCUCCGAGCUUAACUCGGAAACUGCCGUUGAUACUAUUUGUCUUGAAUGUUGUGGAGGUAAGCGGAAUAUGUCAUGUAGCGGUGAAAUGCUUAGAUAUGACAUAGAACACCAAUUGCGAAGGCAGCUGGCUACGCGAAUAUUGACACUGAUGCACGAAAGCGUGGGGAUCAAACAGG
rnacentral:rRNA from 1 species